UCGAACGCGAAAGUCCCCUUCGGGGGACAAGUAGAGUGGCGCACGGGUGAGUAACACGUAGGUAAUCUACCUUUGGAUGGGGAAUAACAACCGGAAACGGUUGCUAAUACCGCAUAAUGCAGCGGCACCUAAUGGUGACAGUUGUUAAAGCGGGGGAUCGAAAGACCUCGCGUCUGAAGAGGAGCCUGCGGCGGAUUAGCUAGUUGGUAAGGUAAUGGCUUACCAAGGCUACGAUCCGUAACCGGCCUGAGAGGGCGGUCGGUCACACUGACACUGACAUACGGGUCAGACUCCUACGGGAGGCAGCAGUCGGGAAUUUUGGGCAAUGGGCGAAAGCCUGACCCAGCAACGCCGCGUGAAGGAUGAAAUCCCUCGGGAUGUAAACUUCGCAAGAACAGGAAGAAUAAGUAGGGGACAAUACCCCCUAUGAUGACGGUACUGUUUGUAAGCUCCGGCUAACUCCGUGCCAGCAGCCGCGGUAAUACGGGGGGAGCAAGCGUUGUUCGGAUUUACUGGGCGUAAAGGGCGCGUAGGCGGUCAGCACAAGUCAGUUGUGAAAUCUCCGGGCUUAACUCGGAAAGGUCAACUGAUACUGUGCGACUAGAGUGCGGAAGGGGCAACUGGAAUUCUUGGUGUAGCGGUGAAAUGCGUAGAUAUCAAGAGGAACACCUGCGGCGAAGGCGGGUUGCUGGGCCGACACUGACGCUGAGGCGCGAAAGCCAGGGGAGCGAACGGGAUUAGAUACCCCGGUAGUCCUGGCCUUAAACGAUGAAUGCUUGGUGUCUGGGGUUAUAAAGUCCCCGGGUGCCGUCGCUAACGCUUUAAGCAUUCCGCCUGGGGAGUAC
rnacentral:rRNA from 1 species